rnacentral:lncRNA from 1 species
UGAGAAGAACUGGUUCAAACUUUAACAGUUUAAAUGUUUAAAUGUUACAUAUGUGUUAUUAUCCAGUUAUUAACACAUGUAUGUAUUUCCCUUUUUAAAUGUGUUAUUUCUGACAGUUUCCUCUCAUGAGUAUCAAGUCCAAGGUCAGUCUGCAAUUUACACUUUUCAUUUCAAACUGUUCUUUUAGCAUCAUAUGAACUGAUACAGUCUGCAAAUAACUGAACAAAGUUUUCACGCCUUGUUUGUUUAUAACAAAUCUCUCAUUCACAGUAUAGCCAUAACAACCUUUUAGAUAUUUGAUACAUGUAUUUUCCUCUAAUCUUUCAGCUCUUCCUUCACCAACACUGACAGUGAGCACAGCAGUGAUCUCAGAGACAGACUCGGUCACGUUACACUGUCAGGCACCAGCAUCUGCCUCAGUUCAUCACUGUUAUUUUUAUACUGGGGAGCAACAAAGUAUCAGAGGCGACUCGUGUCUACAGACACUUACAGGAACUGAACUGCUGUUAAUGUCACAUCAGAGAUCACCUGCUGAGGUCAAAGUCAGAUGUUUUUACACAGUGGAGGACGGAUCUGUGAAUUCUCCUUCAGCGCACAGUCACCCAUCCUCCAUCAGCAUACAAAGUCAAAAACCAGAGAUGAGUGUUCAACAUUUUGAUGGGGAAUUUGUUCUCAUCAUGUGCUCUCUGCCUGGAUCUGUGAAAGAUGAUACAAGAUGUAAUCUGUACUUUGGAGAAGCAAGUCGUCCAUUCUUAAAUGAAGCUGUCUCGAAGGAAAGCAGCAGAAAAACCAAACAGAGGUCCUGCCGCUUUUAUGUCGCAGUUGCAGAUUUUUUGAGCCAUUUACAUUAUGUUCAACAAAAGGAUGCCAGCUGUGAUUACACUUUGGAAAGUGGACCUUACUCUUUGUCACCUCGCAGUGAUCGAUACAACAUGACAGGUAAGUCAAAGAGAAACAUAGCCUAUUUUACUGUAUAUGAUGCUACUUUUGAAAUGAAUAAAAC